rnacentral:lncRNA from 1 species
CCAGAUUUAAUUGAGCUGAAGAUGGCGGACUCAUUGAGUAUGUCUCUUGAUGAAAUGGUUAAGAGGAGCAAGGCCGCUAAAAAGUCUGCUGGUAAAGGAGUUUCCCGAGGUGGAGCUAAAGGUGCUGGAAGAGGAGCUGGUGGACCUGUUCGCAGAGGUCCUCUAGCUGUGAAAGCUAGGCCGUCAUCAUUCUCAAACAAGGCAAGCUCACGAAUCUGGGAUCUUCUCUCUGUAUGAUUGGAAUUCUGAGUUUGCACACCAAAUAACGAAGCAUAGCGUUUGAUAAACGAGUCUCUAAAUGUUCUUGGAGAAGCACUUUUGAUUUUGCAUUCGCCUUAACACACUUUUAGCUUUCAAAACUUCCUCUGGGACUCAGACUACAAAGCUCUUCUAACAUCUACUAGUUUAUGGAGGAGUUUUCUUAGAAAAGCCUCUUCCUUGUCCUUGUCUACUUAGUGGUCUAUAUGGCCAAAUAUGAUGAUUUCAACAGGCCUAGAUGAGCAGAAGUUUUGUACUUUUAGUGGGGGAGCUGUAUUAGUCCACCUAGGGUCAUCUGGAUUGAUGACUUUCGUGGUGGUUGGGGGGAAUUUCAGCAAACUUAGAUAGUCUCUUUAAGUUGAGGAAUGUGCACGAUGCAUGAAGUUCAUGUUUUGCCUCUUGCUACAUCUGGAAUUUCUUUGGAGUCUGAUGGCUGUCUCAGUUUUUGAUUCUCCAAGGACUAUGUUUUUGGCAUCAGAGACUGUGAUAUCACCAGUGAGAUUUGUAUGAAGCUGAUCAAAAAUUGCUUGUUUAUCGCCGACCUUUGGUUUUUCCAAUUAAUAUCUAAAACAAAAAGACGGAAAACACCCCCAUAAUAAAAAUUAUUAACAAGUUUGCCCCCAUUGACCUAGACCUAUUUAAAUAUCUAUCUCCCUUGAGCCGAAAACACGUUCCCCCAUUCUCCCAAUUUCUCAAAGACGAUAAAUCCCUAAUUCCCCCAAUCGAUUCGCACGAGCCGAUUUCUACAUCUUCUUCGAUCCGUCUUUUGAUCUUUCAUCUGGUAAAAUUUCGAUUCGUCUUUUGCUAAUUGUUCAGCUAAUUUAUAUCCGUUGAUGAUUCGUCUGAAUGAAUUCGAUUCGUUUUCACUUUUCGAUUGAGAAUUUACGUCUGUUUUAGGUUUAGAUCAUAGGAAUCUGUAGAUCUAGCGCUUUGAGAUAUGAGUUUCCGUCGGAUCUUUGAUUUGUAUAUAUGAGGCUUGAAUUUAUAUCUCUAUGCGAUGAAUCUGUUGUUUGAUUUGUUAAUUUUGAUUGUAUUUUCCAGAUUUAAUUGAGCUGAAGAUGGCGGACUCAUUGAGUAUGUCUCUUGAUGAAAUGGUUAAGAGGAGCAAGGCCGCUAAAAAGUCUGCUGGUAAAGGAGUUUCCCGAGGUGGAGCUAAAGGUGCUGGAAGAGGAGCUGGUGGACCUGUUCGCAGAGGUCCUCUAGCUGUGAAAGCUAGGCCGUCAUCAUUCUCAAACAAGGCAAGCUCACGAAUCUGGGAUCUUCUCUCUGUAUGAUUGGAAUUCUGAGUUUGCACACCAAAUAACGAAGCAUAGCGUUUGAUAAACGAGUCU